AAGAGGUCCCGCCUGCCCUGUGACACAAAUUUAACGGCCGCGGUAUCCUGACCGUGCAAAGGUAGCGCAAUCACUUGUCUUUUAAUUGAAGACCUGUAUGAAUGGCAUAACGAGGGCUUAACUGUCUCCUUUCUACAGUCAAUGAAAUUGAUCUCCCCGUGCAGAAGCGGGGAUAACAACAUAAGACGAGAAGACCCUGUGGAGCUUUAGACACUAUGGGCAACCCAUACAAACACCCACAUAAAAGACACGAACCAAAUGUGAACCUGCCUUAAUAUCUUCGGUUGGGGCGACCAUGGAGUAACAAACAACCUCCAAGCGGAAUAGGAAUACUUUUUCCCAAAAUUAAGAAAUACAACUCAAAAUAACAGAAAUUCUGACCAAAUGAUCCGGUAACACCGAUCAACGAACCAAGUUACCCCAGGGAUAACAGCGCAAUCCCCUUUAAGAGCCCAUAUCGACAAGGGGGUUUACGACCUCGAUGUUGGAUCAGGACCCCCCAAUGGUGCAGCCGCUAUUAAAG
rnacentral:rRNA from 1 species